UACGAAGGGGGCUAGCGUUGUUCGGAAUUACUGGGCGUAAAGCGCGCGUAGGCGGCGAUCCAAGUCAGAGGUGAAAGCCUGGGGCUCAACUCCAGAAUUGCCUUUGAAACGGGAUCGCUAGAGUCCGAGAGAGGAUGGCGGAAUUCCUAGUGUAGAGGUGAAAUUCGUAGAUAUUAGGAAGAACACCGGUGGCGAAGGCGGCCAUCUGGCUCGGUACUGACGCUCAGGCGCGAAAGCGUGGGGAGCAAACAGG
rnacentral:rRNA from 1 species